rnacentral:rRNA from 1 species
GUGAGGAAUAUUGCUCAAUGGGCGCAAGCCUGAAGCAGCGACGCCGCGUGGGCGAUGAAGGUUUUCGGAUCGUAAAGCCCUUUUCUUCGGGACGAGCAAGGACGGUACCGAAGGAAAAAGUGUCGGCUAACUACGUGCCAGCAGCCGCGGUAAAACGUAGGACGCAAGCGUUAUCCGGAAUUACUGGGCGUAAAGCGCGUGUAGGCGGAUGAUUAAGUUACUGGUGAAAGCGCCGGGCUAAACCCGGCGAGGUCCGGUGAUACUGAUCGUCUGGAGGGUGUCAGAGGGAAGCGGAAUUCCGGGUGUAGUGGUGAAAUGCGUAGAGAUCCGGAGGAACACCAGAGGCGAAGGCGGCUUCCUGGGACAUACCUGACGCUGAGACGCGAAAGCAUGGGGAGCGAACGGGAUUAGAUACCCGAGUAGUCC